GAUGAACGCUGGCGGCGUGCUUAACACAUGCAAGUCGAACGAUGAAGCCCAGCUUGCUGGGUGGAUUAGUGGCGAACGGGUGAGUAACACGUGAGUAACCUGCCCUUAACUCUGGGAUAAGCCUGGGAAACUGGGUCUAAUACCGGAUAGGAGCGUCCACCGCAUGGUGGGUGUUGGAAAGAUUUAUCGGUUUUGGAUGGACUCGCGGCCUAUCAGCUUGUUGGUGAGGUAAUGGCUCACCAAGGCGACGACGGGUAGCCGGCCUGAGUGGGUGACCGGCCACACUGGGACUGAGACACGGCCCAGACUCCUACGGGAGGCAGCAGUGGGGAAUAUUGCACAAUGGGCGCAAGCCUGAUGCAGCGACGCCGCGUGAGGGAUGACGGCCUUCGGGUUGUAAACCUCUUUCAGUAGGGAAGAAGCGAAAGUGACGGUACCUGCAGAAGAAGCACCGGCUAACUACGUG
rnacentral:rRNA from 1 species